UUCUCAUUUCGUUACAGACUGCGUUAUGACCCGGAAAAGGAAAAGAAGAUGCCACGAAUGGAGAAUGAACCCUCCAAGCUGUUUUGUAUGAUCUGAGGAAGGCAAAAGUAGCAACCAAGCGAUCUUCAAGGUUUUAAAUAUUAGAGGAAAAGAUGGAAAGAGAUAUCUUGUAAAAUCUGGUUUGUUGGAGAGAAGGAAAAGCCGUGAAUCCGUGAUAUCAGCUAGGAGAUCUUAUACUCGACAAUUAAUUGUGUUAAUAUAUAGAUUUCUGUAAAAUGUAAAUUUUGGUUGUUAAAAUUUAUACAUUAAAUUUUAAAUAUUUAAUAUUA